rnacentral:rRNA from 1 species
UCUCCUACGGGGGGCAGCAGUGGGGAAUAUUGCACAAUGGGGGGAACCCUGAUGCAGCGACGCCGCGUGAGUGAAGAAGUAUUUCGGUAUGUAAAGCUCUAUCAGCAGGGAAGAAAAUGACGGUACCUGACUAAGAAGCCCCGGCUAACUACGUGCCAGCAGCCGCGGUAAUACGGAGGGUGCGAGCGUUAAUCGGAAUUACUGGGCGUAAAGCGCUCGUAGGCGGUAUGUCAAGUCAAGGGUGAAAUCCCCGCGCUCAACGUGGGAACUGCCGUUGAAACUGGCAAACUGGAGGGUGUGAGAGG